UUAUAGUAACCAUCGCAACAGAAUGAAUUAUAUAUUUCAAUCUAAAUAAAUCAGAGUAUGCAUUUUGGAUGCAUCAGAUUUUUUUUAUUUUAUAUAAUUACAAUUGGGUUGUGCUGUCAUAUGUGGAUUUUACAGUCAACCAUGCUUUUCUCUUUUCAUACCGCCUCGGUAGCCUAGGGUAGAGCGUCCGCUUUGAGUGCAGGAGGUCGUGGGUUCAAUCCCCGGCCGCGUCAUACCAAAGACGUAAAAAAUGGUACUGGUAGCUUCCUCGCUUGGCGCUCAGCAUUAGGAGGAUAGUGCUAGGACUGGUCAGCCCGGUGUCAGUAUAAUGUGACUGGGAGGGGUAUCAUGCAGGUUUUUUCUAGCUAAUUUGGGAACAUAGCCUUUACCCCCAGAAUUGAGAAUUUUGAUGCAUAAAUGUUCCAAAUUGGGAAAUAUUUAAUCCCAUAGGAUAUAGUUAAGGAUGUGUUUAAACACUUUCUCAUACACUUGUUUCACAUUGUACAACCUCUUUAACAUACUUCCAUUACAAAAUUGUCCAUAAUUUGGUCAAUAUUUGUGCAAUUUUGAUGAUUUUUUUUUUCAGAAUGUAGAUUGGGAAUUUUUGCACUAAUUUUGGGAAAAAUGCAUACUUUUUAGCUCGACUCUUCGAAGGAUAGUCUAGCUAUUCUACUCACCCUGGCGUCGGCGUCACACCUUGGUUAAGUUUUUGCAUGCAAGUACAUACAGCCAUCAAUAAGAGGCAUAUAUCUUUGAAACUUAUUUUUUCUUUUUCUAGGUCAAUUACCAACCUUAGUGUUAUUUCUAGAGCGACGCAGCGGGGCGCCCCGCCCCACCCUUUUUAACUGCCGCCACGCUGCCCUAAAAUCGGUCCUAUGUUCCGCCCCUUUACUGCCCUUUUCAACUGCCGUCAAAGUGCCCUAAAAUCGGUCCUAUGCUCCGCCCCGUUACUUCGCAUUAGCCUCAAAUUUGCAUAAUCACCUAAGCGCGUGUCGUAUCGAUUCAGCAGCCUGUUGUAUACAUAGGCGAUAAUUACGUCACGGAGCGUGAACACACUACAGGUCACAUGUUGUGUAAUGAUUAAAUUAUGUCAGCGUUAUAAUGAUGUACGGAGAUUUGAUUGAAAGUUGUAAUUGGGAUCAAGGGAUUACGACUAAUUGUAUAAAUUAAUACAAAUAAAAGGACUUUGAUCGGUGAUAACAAAAUUAAACAUUGAUCAGAAUCAAAAUAUUGCCGUGUUUGUAACGCUAUUAAAGAGACAAUGGAUUACGGUGCUGAAAACAAAAAGUGAUGAGACAACUCAGGCUACCGAGGCUGUAUUCGAUCCAGCUCCUGUGCGUCAAGAAGAAUGCCAGCCACCAGUAUCAACAACUUCAACACCAAAACAACGGAAAACGCUGAAAGCUAAACACAAGAUUGGCUUUGAAUCUGCAUGGACAUUGACCAGACCUUGGUUAUACAACAAACACGAAUCUGAAUACUUUUCACUGAAAUAUUGAAGACAAAAUUGAUACAGCUAAUUUCAUCACAAUUAGAAUUGCUAGAUUACAUUAUAUGAAUGCUAAUUUUGCAAAAGAUAUGAAAUUAUUCAACUGAUUAAAGAAAUGAACUGUAUAAUAUUGUAUUUGAUUGUAAUCCUUACUUCAAUGCAAGGGAAGCAACACCAUAAUCAGGUGUAAUUGUUCUAAAGCCCUCUCAAACAACAUGUUAGAAAAUGCCCUUCUUUCCUAAUCGCGGUACGGAUGCCCCCCUGCCCCUUUUUAGUAGCACCCUGCCCUUUUUGAACCCUAGAAAUAACACUAAACCUCUCUGGGUCAAGUCCCAUAACUCUGACAUGUAUUUUGAGCAAAUUAUGCCCCCUUUUGGACUUAGAAAACUUUGGUUAAAGUUUUACAUGUAAGUUACUAUCUCCAAAACUAAUGCAGAUAUUGAUUUGAAACUUCACAUGUGUCUUCGAGGUUAUAAAACUAGUUGAUAGCAGCAAGUCCCAUAACUCUGACUUUCAUUUUGGCCAAAUUAUGCCCCCUUUUUGACUUAGAAAAUUCUGGUUAGUUUUGCAUGCAAGUACAUACAGCUAUUUCUAAAAGGCAUAUAGAUUUGAAACUUAUUUUUUCUUUUUCUAGAUCAAUUACCAACCUCACUGGGUCAAGACCCAUUAACUCUGACAUGUUUUUUGAGCAAAUUAUGCCCCCUUUUAGACUUAGAAAAUUUUGGUUAAAGUUUUACCUAUAAGUUAUUAUCUCCAAAACUAAUGCAAAUAUUGAUUUGAAACUUCACAUGUGUCUUCGGGGUUAUAAAACUAGUUGAUAGCAGCAAGUCCCAUAACUCUGACCUUCGUUUUGGCCAAAUUAUGUCCCCUUUUGGACUUAGCAAAUUCUGGUUAAAGUUUUGCGUGCAAGAACAUACAGCUAUUACUAAAAGGCAUAUAGAUUUGAAACUUAUUUUUUCUUUUUCUAGAUCAGUUACCAACCUCACUGGGUCAAGUCCCACAACUCUGGCAUGUAUUUUGGGCAAAUUAUGCCCCCUUUUGGACUUGGAAAAUUCUGGUUAAAGUUUUUACAUGCAAGUUUCUAUCUCCAAAACUAAUGCAGAUAUUGAAUUGAAGCUUCACAUGUGCCUUCGGGGUUAUAAAACUAGUUGAUAGCUGCAAGUCCCAUAACUGAUAUGCAUUUUGGUCAAAUUAUUCCCCCUUUUGAACUUAAAACUCUUUUGAUAUUUAACCUUUUUGGGUAAUAUUUUCCUGCUUUUGGGACAAUAUUUCGAAUAGUCGAGCUUGGCUGUCUUACGGCCAGCUCUUGUUGGCAUUGGGAAUAUAGCCGAAUAACGGCUAUAAAAACGGCCGAAAAAACAACCUGUCAUGCCACGUGUCUACGGCAGACACCUGUAAACAACCUGUA